GUAACACCCAGUUUGAAAACUUACCCCUGUUUCCUAGCUUGGCUCUGAAUAAAAUUGUGGGUGGACAGCCCAGACACUACCUGCAAUAACUCUAGCUUUUGAAAUCCAAACAAAAUGUGUAGACUUGUCCUUGUUCCAUAAGUCUUAAGACAUCAGUGUCCUUGAAAUAGCUCUGAGGUCUUUUCCCUUCUUUCCUCCCCACCCUCCCUGCACUGCCAAGGUGAGUGUCAGGAGAGGGAGGAUGUUGUUAUAUGGUCUCUGGUGGCUCUAAACUUUAGUAGAUUGAACUAUAUUGGUUUUUGGAUGAUUUUGUCACAUUGUUCAUGUUCUCUUUUUCUACCAUAUGCACAUAACCUCUGUUCCAUCUAAAAUGGAGUAAUUUCUAUUCUAUUUCUCCAAAAUGUAACAAAUACAAAAUUGUGGAUCUUCUUCGGGUAAAGAUGGUGGAGCAAAGCCUGGAAGCAUAUCAUAGCUUCUCUGGGACAUAAAGUUGAGAGACUUGGAAAACAUCAACUUAGCAAACUUUAGAGCUCCUAGAAUCAAGAAAGACCCACCAGGAAAAGUAGAAAUCACAAAGAAGCUGGAAAAAUGGCCAGUUGGAGAAAGAAUGAAGCAUUUUGGAAUGCCAACCCUGGUUUUCAAGAAGAGGGGCACAAACAGAAGGAAACUAACUGGUCCCUGUUCAAACGACAGCUCUAAAACCAAAAAGUAAUUUUAGAGUGACAAGACUUUUCUACUGGAGAUAAUAGAUGGGAGGGAGAAUGAGCAAGGAAGAUA
rnacentral:lncRNA from 1 species